rnacentral:rRNA from 1 species
AGUGAACGCUGGCGGCAGGCCUAACACAUGCAAGUCGAACGGCAGCACAGGAGAGCUUGCUCUCUGGGUGGCGAGUGGCGGACGGGUGAGGAAUACGUCGGAAUCUGCCUAUUUGUGGGGGAUAACGUAGGGAAACUUACGCUAAUACCGCAUACGACCUACGGGUGAAAGCGGAGGACCUUCGGGCUUCGCGCAGAUAGAUGAGCCGACGUCGGAUUAGCUAGUUGGCGGGGUAACGGCCCACCAAGGCGACGAUCCGUAGCUGGUCUGAGAGGAUGAUCAGCCACGCUGGAACUGAGACACGGUCCAGACUCCUACGGGAGGCAGCAGUGGGGAAUAUUGGACAAUGGGCGCAAGCCUGAUCCAGCCAUGCCGCGUGAGUGAAGAAGGCCCUCGGGUUGUAAAGCUCUUUUGUCCGGAAAGAAAAGCGCUCGGUCAAUACCCAAGCGUCAUGACGGUACCGGAAGAAUAAGCACCGGCUAACUUCGUGCCAGCAGCCGCCGUAAUAC